rnacentral:rRNA from 1 species
CCUACGGGAGGCAGCAGUGAGGAAUAUUGGUCAAUGGACGAGAGUCUGAACCAGCCAAGUAGCGUGAAGGAUGACUGCCCUAUGGGUUGUAAACUUCUGUUAGAAAGGAAUAAAACGAGGCACGUGUGCCUUUUUGCAUGUACGUUAUGAAUAAGGAACGGCUAACUCCGUGCCAGCAGCCGCGGUAAUACGGAGGAUCCGAGCGUUAUACGGAUUUAGUGGGUGUAAAGGGAGCGUAGAUGGGUUGUUAAGUCAGUUGUGAAAGUUUGCGGCUCCACCGUAAAAUUGCAAUUGAUACUGGCAGUCUUGAGUACAGUUGAGGUAGUCGGACUUCGUUGUGUAGCGGU